UACGGAGGGGGCGAGCGUUAUUCGGAAUUAUUGGGCGUAAAGGGCGCGUAGGCGGCCGGAUAAGUCAAAGGUGAAAUCCCUCGGCUCAACUGAGGAACUGCCUUUGAAACUGUUUGGCUCGAGUCCGGGAGGGGGUAGCGGAAUUCCCAGUGUAGCGGUGAAAUGCGUAGAUAUUGGGAGGAACACCAGUGGCGAAGGCGGCUACCUGGACCGGAACUGACGCCGAUGCGCGAAAGCGUGGGGAGCAAACAGG
rnacentral:rRNA from 1 species